rnacentral:rRNA from 1 species
AGAUUGAACGCUGGCGGCAGGCCUAACACAUGCAAGUCGAGCGGUAGAGAGGUGCUUGCACCUCUUGAGAGCGGCGGACGGGUGAGUAAAGCCUAGGAAUCUGCCUGGUAGUGGGGGAUAACGCUCGGAAACGGACGCUAAUACCGCAUACGUCCUACGGGAGAAAGCAGGGGACCUUCGGGCCUUGCGCUAUCAGAUGAGCCUAGGUCGGAUUAGCUAGUUGGUGAGGUAAUGGCUCACCAAGGCGACGAUCCGUAACUGGUCUGAGAGGAUGAUCAGUCACACUGGAACUGAGACACGGUCCAGACUCCUACGGGAGGCAGCAGUGGGGAAUAUUGGACAAGUGGGCGUAAAGCCUAGAUCCAGCCAUGCCGCGUGUGUGAAGAAGGUCUUCGGAUUGUAAAGUCUACGUUUAAGUUGGAGGAAGGUCUAAGUUAACCUAUUACGUUAGUUGUUUUGAACGUUUACCGAA